rnacentral:rRNA from 1 species
UACAUAGGUCUCAAGCGUUGUUCGGAUUCAUUGGGCGUAAAGGGUGCGUAGGCGGCGCGGUAAGUCGGGUGUGAAAUCUUGGAGCUUAACUCCGAAACUGCAUUCGAUACUGCCGUGCUUGAGGACUGGAGAGGAGACUGGAAUUUACGGUGUAGCGGUGAAAUGCGUAGAUAUCGUAAGGAAGACCAGUGGCGAAGGCGGGUCUCUGGACAGUUACUGACGCUGAGGCACGAAGGCCAGGGGAGCAAACGGG